rnacentral:rRNA from 1 species
GACGAACGCUGGCGGCGUGCUUAACACAUGCAAGUCGAACGGUAAGGCCCUUCGGGGUACACGAGUGGCGAACGGGUGAGUAACACGUGGGUGAUCUGCCCUGCACUUCGGGAUAAGCCUGGGAAACUGGGUCUAAUACCGGAUAGGACCACUGCCUGCAUGGGUGGUGGUGGAAAGCUUUUGCGGUGUGGGAUGGGCCCGCGGCCUAUAAGCUUGUUGGUGGGGUGAUGGCCUACCAAGGCGACGACGGGUAGCCGGCCUGGGAGGGUGACCGGCACCACUGGGACUGGGAUACGGCCCAGACUCCUACGGGAGGCAGCAGUGGGGAAUAUUGCACAAUGGGCGCAAGCCUGAUGCGGCGACGCCGCGUGAGGGAUGACGGCCUUCGGGUUGUAAACCUCUUUCAGCACCGACGAAGCGCAAGUGACGGUAGGUGCAGAAGAAGGACCGGCCAACUACGUGCCAGCCGCCGCGGUAA